ACCCCGUGCUCCAGGACAGAAAGAAGGAUCCCAAAGAAGGAACUGAGGCUCCGAGGAAGGUGAGAAAUAUGGACUCAGAAUGAUUCAGAAAUCUGCCUAGGAGCCCGCAGUGAUGGGCUGAUGGGCAGGGCAGAGCUGAUGGACUGAAGGCAGAGGAGGAGGUAGAGGAGGAAGAGAGAGAGAAGGAGGACCCUGAAGAGAAAGAGGGUGACAGGUCUGCAGAGACAGGAACCCUGUUCCCAGCCCUGGGAGUCCCCAUGGAGAAGCCCAGAGCCUCAGUCUCCCCUGAACCUCAGCCUGGGCUCAAAUCACAGACCUUUUCAGCCCAGGGCCUGGUCCAGGGUCACUGGCCCCUUCUCCCCACCAGACACAGGAGCAGGAGGGAAUCAUGACAGGACUGUACCCCAAGGCCACAACAAAUGCCCCCUUUUUGCU